ACUCGAGUCGGUUUUAGGCUUUGCAUUUUGUACUAUCUUUCGCUCUUUAGGGUUUAGAAACUACAUUGGCACUCAAGUCGGCUUUAGGCUUGACAUUUCGUACUAUCUUUUGCUCUCUAGGGUUUUGAAACUACAUUUCUAAGCUAGAUCUACUAUUCUUUUGCAAUAAAUUAAUGCUGAAGUUCAAUCCCCAAAUCAAGAAGUUCUUCUUCUUCAUCUUUUUCUUCUUGUUAGCUUUUAUUAGAGUCUAAAACCAGGAGUUCAAAAUAUUGGAGCCUCUAAAACACAAUUGACUUGAUUGUGAUCAAGUCAAAAUCCUUUUUUUUGGGUUCUAUUUUAUGUUUUUCCACAUUGAUUCCAUCUUGAUUUAUGUAAGAGAUUAGUGAUUUUGGAUCGUUCAAAACAUGAUCGACUCAAUUGAGGUCAAAGCUUGAAAUCAAGGCUUCAAAGGAAUGGAGUCUAGAAAACACGAUCUACUUGAUUUUGAGCUUGACACCAAGGCUUCAAAGGAAUGGAGUCUAGAAAACACCAUCUACUUGAUUGUGGUUUUUAAGCAGGAUAAAUUUAUAUAGAGAUCAAGAAUCUAUUUGGAUACUAGAAGCAAGGUCUCUCCGGCAUCUACAUGCAAAACGAGCAGUUCAAAUUAUCAUGAAAAAUAUCAAGAAUCUUGUUGCUUUUGUUCUUCCUUUCCUCCUUCUCGACUUCCAAUGACCCUAAGCCACCACUCACAAGCUAUUGUCGUUUCUGGGCCUUCUCUUGCUCGGAGAGUGAUCGGUUAGACUUGAUCACCCGAAUCAUUGUGAUCAGGUCGCCGCUAGGUGACUUGGCUUCGACACAAACUAGUGCCAGAUUGGGAUCGGCGGGAAGGGAGCAACAGUCGGGGCACUCCCACCGAAGAGCAUCGGCUAGCAUUUGGGGAUGAAGGAGGGAAAGACAUUGCACAUGCCAGGGAGUGGCACAUGUCUGGCAAGCGAGGAUGUCCUCAAGCGACGGCUUCUCCUCGCAGAUCAUGCAAAUGUCGUUGCCAUCGUAGGGGAGUUCUCUAUCAUGUGCCAUGGGAGCAAACGAUAAGCAGGGAUGUUCAAGGAUGGUGAUUGCGAGUAAUUAGCUAAGUAGGGUUUGAUGGGAAAUACAAAACUGCAUGUGAUUAUUAUAUAUACUAUUGCGACAGUGGUGAUGAAUGAAGAUGAGGACAAGAGGUGGAGAUUUGGAAAAAUAUAUAAGGUUUUUUGUUUUUAUUUUUCUUCUUUUUUCCUAUUUAACUUUUUUUAAAAAUUUUUAUUUUAUUUAGGUGACAUUUACAAUGCAUUAUCAUUGAUAAGAUGUGAACAAAGUGUGAACGCAA